UAGUGUUGUAAUGGUAUACAUAAUAAUGUUAUGUUUCUAUUGUUAAUUUAGUAUUAACAGUCCUUGGCUCUUGUGCAUUAUAUUUAUCCAUUAUUAAUAGUAUUAUUAACUGUGAGCAUAGUUAAUUGAGGAGAUGGUUUGGAAACUUAUUAGCAUUACAAUAAACCUCACUAUCUAUGUUUUUGUUCAGGUUUAUGCAAAAAUGUGGUCUUUCAUCGUCACGUGCGUAUUGUAUUUUUGCUCAACCAGCCAAUAGCAACGGUUUUGUCCAAUUGCCCAUCCAUGACUUUAACAAUAAGACAUUUUGAACAUUCUUAUUGGUUGACUUGAGAAAAAUACAAUGCACACGUGACGAUGAAAGACCACAUUUUUGCAUAAACCUGAACAACAUAGAUAAUGAGGUUUAUUGUGAUUUUAUUGUAAUGUUAACGAGUUUCCAAACCAUCUCCUCUAUUAACUAUG